rnacentral:lncRNA from 1 species
UUUAUUUACCUUUCAAAAAAGCUAAUAAUCUUUAAACUCCCUUUUUUUUUUAAAAAAAAAAAGAACCCUUAAUCUGCUCAGUUAGGGUUGGUUCAACACACUGCCGCCAAACCACCAUCAGUUCGAUGGCCGACGGCGCGAAAUACCAGACUCUACCGACAGGGGUUGCAACCACGGAGAUUUGGUAAAUCACUUCUUUCCCUUCUUUUUUUUAAAAAAAAAACUUCAAAUCGUAUUUCACUCUUUCAAAAAAAAAUAGCAAAACUUCAAAGUGAAACGUUCAACCCUCGCCCGAAUCUCCUUAUUUUCGAGAUACUUGAGUGUUCAUCGGUGUCGUUUCAGAUGUUUCUUUCUUUUAUUGCAAAAAAAAAAGAACGCAAGCAAAUGAGGAAAGAAACAAAAGAAUAAACGGACUUGAAAAAAAAUCACCUCUUGAUUUGAUAAUUUCUGCCUAUUCUAUUUCUUUGCUGUAUGUGCGUUUUUGUGUGUAUCUGAAAAAAAAUACAUGGCUUAUUACAUGGAUUUUUAUAGCCGAAAACAGAGAAAAAUGAAAAAAGAAAAUACAAAUUUCUUGUUUUUUUCUCUCUGCUGUGUUGCGAUGCUGUUCUUGUCUUCAUGCAGGUACGAGGGAGGACAUGGAGCACGGAGGUGGUACGGUCACUGGAGGCUUGUACGGCACUGGAGGUUGCUGCGGCACUAAGCAAAUGGGGCUAGGGUUAGGGUUUCCAAGAACUUUCAAAAGAUUGGUCCUAUCGGGCUCUAUUUUUGGGUCUAGGUUAAUAUUAGUUGUUGGGCCAUUGAGUAUUGGGCUAAAGUCUGUAAAUAGACAUUUAAUGGACUAUAUAUUAUUGUAUUUUUCAUUUUGUUUUCGUGGUUUUUGUUUGAUUUGUGUUUGCACUGGCCCGAGCCAAAAUUGGGGAUUACAGUUGCCUCUCUUUGCUCAUUGUCGUGUAACGAGAAUGGAGCAAAGACUACAAAAAGGUCAAUUUUGCCCGGUCCUGUAGAAUCUUGAUUUCUUUGGUGCUUCUCUUCUUUGAGGUAGCUUUGUUCCAAUCAUCUGCAACUUCAGGGGUGUAGGAAUUGUCGCUCCAAUCUACUCCACUGUAACUCUAGAGAUAUAAGAUUCAUCAUCUUCGAUCUGCACCACUGCAACUUCGGGGAGACAAGAUCUACAAUCUUCAGCUUGUUACCCUACGGCUUAGGGAGUUAAGGCUUGCUUAAAUCUGCUUCACUGUAACUUUAGGAAGCCAAGAUUCGUUGUCUUCGAUUUGCUCCACUGCAACUUCAGGGAGACAAGAUCUACAAUCUUCAGCCUACUCCACUACAACUUUAGGGAGCUAGUACUUGCUUAAAUCUGUUUCACUACAAAUUCAGGAAGCCAAGAUUCGUCGUCUUCGAUUUGCCCCACUGCAACUUCAGGGAGACAAGAUCUACAAUCGUCAGCCUACUCCACUACAACUUUAGGGAGCUAGGACUUGCUUAAAUCUGCUUCACUACAACUUCAAGAAGCCAAGAUUCAUCGUCUUCGAUUUGCUCCACUGCAACUUCAGAGAGACAAGAUCUACAAUAUUCAGCCUACUCCACUACAACUUUAGGGAGCUAGGACUUGCUUAAAUCUGCUUCACUGCAACUUCAGGAAGCCAAGAUUCAUCGUCUUCGAUUUGUCCCACUGCAACUUCAGGGAGACAAGAUCUAUAAUAUUCAGCCUACUCCACUACAACUUUAGGGAGCUAGAACUUCCUUAAAUCUGCUUCACUGCAACUUCAGGAAGCCAAGAUUCGUCGUCUUCGAUUUGCCCCACUACAACUUCAUGGAGGCAAGAUAUAUAAUAUUCAGCCUACUCCACUACAACUUUAGGAAGCAAGGACUUGCUUAAAUCUGCUUCACUGCAACUUCAGGAAGCCAAGAUUCGUCAUCUUCGAUUUGCCCCACUGCAACUUCAGGGAGACAAGAUCUACAUUCUGUUUCAUAGGCUUAUGCUUAUGCCAAAUAAUUAGGAUGCUAUGAUCAACAUGAAUCAAUUGUUCCUAACUAGAUGUGAUGUUUAUGUCAAAUAAUUAGAAUGCUAUGAUCGAAGUGAAUCAAAUGCUCCUAACUAGAUGUGUUACGAAUGAUAUAUGAAUACGAAAAUGAAAAUGAUCCAGGUAUCAUUGCUCGUUCAUCAGGGCAUUAUCACUGACGUAUUACGCGGCCAUCUUGUUCAGCUGGUAUUCUUGACAGAAAACCCAAAGAAACAAUCUCAAUCUACUCGGCAAGCUUGCCCUACUGAAACUUUAUAGAGUUUUUGCUUAUCCAACCCACUGUAACUCAGGGUAUAGAAUCAAUUUGAUUUGUUACAUCAUUCUUCGGGUGUAAUGACCCUGUGUGCAUGUCUGAUAUUUGCGUGAAUGCAGAAUAUCAUUUUUCUUUUCCUGAGAAUGAUCCCCUCUCACACUUGGAUUGACAUUGCUCGUCAUUUGUUGAUGUUGUAUCACCGACGAAAUAUCUUGCCUCUUGGUUAAUCGAUAUCUUUAAUAGAAAAUUCGAAGAGAUAGCCACAAUUUAGACUCUCUUUUCUCAAACAUCUCCAUCCCUUAGGAUUGGUGAGUUCUCAACAACAGUCCUGUUUCAGGUUCUUGUACUAUUUAGAAGCCUCCCGAGUAAUAUGCAGAACUUCUUUUAUGAAAGUCUUAUUGGUCCAUUAAUCAUUAUUUCAAUGCAAAAUGCUCGAAAAAUAUCAAAAAAAUAGACAAGAAGGAAAUUGGGUAAGAGCACGGCUUGAAACAAAUAAGUUAAUCAAAGAUUGCAAAUGCAAUAAGAAGGAAAUUAACUCAACAUGAAUAAGUUAAUCAGAGAUAGCAAUGCAAUAAGAAGGAAGUUUAUUUGGAGCAUAUUUUGAAAUGAAUAUAGUAAUCAAAGAUAGUAAAUUCAGUGUGGGUAAGAUGAAAACUAGGUGCCCCAGAUAUCGCAGCCCGAGCUUCUCUGUACAAAUUUCUUGAGGUCCAUUUUGAGCUCAAUAUGUAUUCAGGGGAUCCAGAGUACUUUGUCGAUGCCCUGAGACGUAGCAUACUUCUUCAUUGUUAAUUUAGGCAUAGCAAGACUGCUGUGUGCCCUACUUUGAUCCAAAUUUGAGCCGCCUUUUCCAGGUUUUCAACUAAAAUCCCCUUUGGUCUCAAGGCGCCCUUUGCGGGUUUUCGCCUUGGCCUCUCCUUUUCUUUUCUUUUCUUCUUUUUCUUUUUCUUUUUCUUAUUAUUAUUAUUAUUGUUUUUUUUAUGGUCUCAAAGCGUCCUUUGCAGGUUUUUGCCUUGGCCUUUCACUUCCCCCUGAAGUCCUUUUGUAUAAAAAUUAUCUUUUUCCACGCCAGGUCCUCCUUGUGGAAUUCUUUAGGAUGAACCUUUCUGACGUAGGCUUGCGUUAUUCAUUUUUGGUACAUUGGGCCAUGAAAAAUGGCUUUCAAUCUCCUUUCUUCAAAUUCAACUGAUCACAUCGGGAUUGGAUCUAUUCUGCCUGAUCCAACUUCAAUUUUGACAAGACUUGGCCGAAAGAAAUCUCGUUUUCGAAAUCGUUUCUAUCCCAUUAAGCAAACGAGCAAUGUAUUGCCUCGGCAAGGUUCUGGCUGACGUUCGAUAAGUAUAGAGGGUAAAUGGUAACUUCUUUAUGCCAAUCUUUACAAGCCUCAAUUAUCUUUCACGAUUUUUGCUGCGUUAUGAUAUGGAGUCUGAUCUUUGAACAGAUUGCCAACUUCUGACAUUGAAUCUUUGUGACGUUCUUUAUAGGUACCUAAUCUCUUUCUCUCUUUCUUUCUUUCUUUUCUUUUCUUUCUUUCUUUCUUCUUCCUUUUUUUUAUGACUAUCGACUUAGUAACAUUGGCAUAUGAAAUGACUUUCACCCUUUCCGUAAAGUAAUCGACGACCUCAAAGAUGAAUCGGUAUCGGUUAGAAGCUUUUGAUGAGAUCAGCCCCAUAAUAUUCAUGCCCCACAUAUAGAAAAUUUGUGAAGAAAUUGAAGAGGCAUAAAAGUCUUGUCUUCUUCCGUUUGGCAUUCGCCGCUUGACUGAUACGAUCCCCUUCCAUGUUGGAUCAGCAGCACUCAAACCUCAUGAUUAGUCUGGCUAACGUAAAGCCAUUAGCAUGUGUUCUUUUAACACUCAUAUGGACCCUUGUUAGCCCAGGCAUAUCUUGAUACGAUCUUGUGAAAAUAUCUUAGUAUUCUUGACACCUCGCUUUGUCUAUGUGGUGUUAUACACUCCAAUCUUUAUCUCUUUCUUUUCUCUUAGGUUCACGACGUCCAUUGCCCCUUUGUAGGGUAGGAUCUAUUUCUUAUCUUGUUCUACCAUCCUUGACAAAUCAGGAGAUAGGCUACAAUCUCUAUCAUCUUCAAGGUCCUGAGAUCCCUCUAGACACAUAUCUUGCUCAAAAAGAGACUCGAAAUUAGUAACAGCAUCGCUCACGUCAUUGAUAUCUGGAGACCUGUUGUAGGUACGAAGGCAGAUUCCAAAGAAUAAAUGAUUCUAAGGAUGAUUAUUUGUAUGGUAUGAUCAUGAAUGAAAGAAUCUAAGAAUAAUCGUUUGUACAGUAUAAAAUAGAAAAAAUAAAAGAAUAUUUACUCAAAACGAUAACAAACAUGUAUUUCAUUGAAAUAAAGGUUUUGGAUAUAAGCCUAUUUCACAAAAGGAUUCUUUUUGCUUCUAGGCUUAAAACAACAAGUGUGUUUUGAAUAUUACUCUAGAUUAGCUCUAAAAAUACAAGGAUCCUUUUCACAGUCCCAUUGUUUAAAACACCCUAAGUACGUAAGGGCAAAAGCUUGGAAAAGUCUACUCCCGGGUUCCCUCUUCUGAUACAUCGUUAAUGUCCAGAUUCCUCAAUACCAGGUCUUGCAUUAGAGUCCUGAGCUCGAUGCACCCUCAGAUCUCAUGCCCCUAUCCAUCAUGGAACUCAUAACGUCCACCUCUUUAACAGAAAGGUUGGACAAUAGAUUUCCUGCUCCAGAGGGACCAUCGAAUUUCACGAUACCCAAUUUAAUAAAUCUUUCGAUUAGCUUUUUAAAAGCGGUACAAUUCUCGAUGGAAUGCCCCGUGAUUCCCGCAUGGUAUUUACAUUGGGUGCUUGCAUCGUACCAUUUAGGGUAUGGGAGUUGUAUAGGUUUUAUGUAAAAAGGGGAUACAACAUGUACGUCGAACAAAAUGCGGUACAACUCUCCGUACGUGAUUGGAAUGUGCAUGAAUUGGGGUUUUUCUAAGUUCAAUCUUUGACUAGGUUCUUGCCUUGGGGAGGCCUGAUGGUCGGUAGUUACCAUCCUUGGCUGGCUUACUAUAAUUGGCUCCGAGCAACCCUUGUUAUACCUACUCGCACUACUUGCUAUCUUCUUCUUUAGGGCCUUUAAAGUCCACUCUCCCCUUUCCUUCGUUUCUGACAGAACGACUGGCUUGGCUCGAUCAUCUUUUGGGUUAAAACCUGAACCCAUCGGAAAGCUCAACAGUACCGAUGUAUCCGUCUGAUAUUUGUGUCCGAUAACAACGGGUACCCCUUGCAUGUCUGGUUGGGUCGGGAUGCUUAUUGGGGUAAAGCUUGGGGAAUAGAUGAUCUCUUCGAUAUCAUCCUCACUAUUGACCACUAGGCCACUCUUUUUUUCAAAUUCUCCGGCCAGUAACUGGGUUGACUGGCCCAUCAUAUUUUUUUGGAGUUCUAUCAUUUCUCGCAUAUUUUGUUGAAUUUUGAUCAAUUGCUCUUGCAUCUGUAUUUGCCUUUGCUCCAUUAUCUCUAACCUUUGGUCUAUAUCCUUUGUCGGUUCUGAAAUAAUUUUACCUAAUUAGGGUCCUUCUAGGAAAAUUUAAUGCAAAUGAUGCAAUGCAAUGCAAAUGCAUGGGAUGAAUGCAAAGGAAAGAAAGAUGUCGAUUUUGAAUUCAAUUCCCUUAGAACAACUUUUCUAGAAAACAAAUUCUUUUACAUAAAACGAAUUACGUAUACGGCCUUGUUUUCGUAUUCCAGGCGAAGGCAUUGAUCCCCUUUCUUCCUGAAAGUCAAAUCUCGUAAGCUUCCAAUGCAUGCCUCUACUAGCUCCUUUUUGCUUGAUCCAGGCCACGAAUUACUAUCCUCGCCAUGUUGAUUAUCUCCUUUAAGAAAGUCGAGACGCGACGAUUUUUUGAAUGAUCUUUAUCAGCUUGAAUCCUUAGGUAAAGUUUUGUUUUCCUCCAUGAACUGUUAGCCUUCUUCUUUCGUGUUCACUUGGACCAAAUUCGGGCAACCGUAUUGUAAUAUGCUUUAUUAAGAAAUUCUUUUUCUUAUGACAAACUGUUCUAUUUAGCAAUCGUAUAUGAACCAACACCUUCUUUCUAUAAUGAUGCAAUGCAAUCAUCGACAAAAAAAACAAAAUACAUUAGUACAGUAGAAAUAAAUGACAAAUAAAGCACCUAUUCGGGUGAUCACUAGGGGUUCGGAGUGGCUCUACCUAGGGUAAGCUCCUAGGUCUCUCUACAUGUGGCUCGGUUCUAGAGUAAGAGUACCCGAACCAACAGAUUCCUCAAUCCUCACCCAUUAUAGGCUUAUAUAGAUCGAGUUCGGUUCAGGAGGAUACAUUUCCCUAUGACCAUGCGAAGAUGAAAAUCUCAUGAAAUCAUAGGUACGGAUGUACCCCGAAAGCAAUCCACUAGCCCAUGCGGAGGUGAAAACCUCACGAAAGCAUAGUUUCUUACUCCCACUUAGAGGGUGUGACAACAGCGGUCAUGCAAUGAAAUGCAAUAUUAUUCUAUAAGACCCGAUGUAGCACCCCAAACCCGGCCCAGACGUUAUGACCGGAUCCGACAUGCCACAUCGAAGCGUUCAAAACAUUUUAUAUUGUUGAUCCAGAAAAACUUACUUAGUGUUUUAAAAGAUAAUUUCAUUAUGGGUUAAAGUGAAUGGAAGCUGUGUACCAGGUAGGAAACCGGAAAAGAGGUGGUGAGUCCAUCGGACUGCUUAAGUACCAAGCUCCCUUCGGAUCCAAUCCUAGACAUGCAUACCGCCAUUGCCACACCUUAACGUCAUGGAUAUUUCUAGGAAACCGAUUUGAUUAAGUCAUUUUUAGGAAAAGUGAUUAAUUUUGAAAAAUGCUUUCAUUGCGGAAACUUUGCUUGUUGUCGUGUUAUUUUGAAAUCAAUUGUUGUUUUUGAAAACGUGCCCUAAAGCUAUCCAAUUUCAACAGUUAAAAUAAGUAAUACCUAUCUUAGUAAUACAUAUUAAAACCAUCAAAAAUAAUUAAGCGGCCUUAUUACAUUUAAAAACCCAAAACUUCAAACGUAAAUAAAAGGAUGUCCAGUUCACCAGAAGAAAAUCAAACUUUCAGAACGGGUGGCCACUCCGAAUUCCCUCACAGCUCCAAGCCCACUAUGGUUGGGGAUUACCUGCGUGGAUGAAAAUAAAAGGGGUGAGUUUGGGGAAACUCAGUGUGUAAGGAAAACCCAUUCAAAGCCCAAGUCAGCUCAAGCCUAUUGGGACUAAGCCCAUUCAGGUAACAGUGGUACUGGACCAGAGCCCUUUUUAGAUUACAAUAAACUGGGCCUUAGCCCCUUAUUCAGAUAACAGUAUGGCCCAUAGGCCCAUUUCAAAAUACAUGCAACAUCAAUAACAUAUGCAAGCCCAUUUGGGGAGACUACUCAACCCACCAACCACUACACUCCACCCGUACCAGCCCUACACUCCAUGUGGGGAAUAGCUCAACCCGCCCAGCCCAACACUCCACAGUUGCAGCCUUGCUGCUCAGUUAACAGUAAAUUGAGGCAAAGCCUCUAGUACGUGGACAAGCCACUUUCAGUACUUCCUCCGUCAAUAUUCCAAUCCCAUGCAUCAGAUAAUAACAACAUGGCAUGCAGUAAAUAACAACAGUCAAACAUGCAUUUAGGUCAAUUUAACCCUAGGGGUAUUUCGGUAAUUUAUCUACUAGGGGUAAAACUGUAAAUUUUCCACUUUUAAAAGUAUUUCAGUAAUUUAUCUAUUUUAGGGUUUUUUAUGCAUAUUCCUACCUUUCACGUACUACAGAAUCACGUACCGAGGGUUCUUACCGAAUUGGGCCCGUUGGCCCAUCAUUCCAAAUUUUGGCCCAUUAAGCCCAAAAAUAUCGAGGGCACAGAAAUCAUGCACUUUGCAGUCCAAACAUUGCAGCUUACCAAAAACAUUAGUCGAUUUACCUCACGAGCAUUCGCACACUCGCAAAUCUACAAAAUACCGGUUUUCGGCAUUUCAGAUUUUCGACUUUUACCGAUCUAGACUAAGAAAGAGGGUGUUAGUUGCACACCUGUUUGCGACGAUAUGCUGACGAGAUCCACACACGAACCGCCUACAAUUGGAUUACUAACACGUUAAUCAACUAUUCAAAUACAAACUACGUAUUAACCCCUUACAAUAUUCGGCCAACCACCCCUACAGAUCAUAGUAAGCUUAUAAGAAAUCAAUAAGCAACUCAUUAACAAAUUUUUGUCAAUGUUUACCACAUAAUCAUAAUUUCACUGCAAGCUGUCUUCCUGAGCAACAGUCACUAGAUCAUUUAUAACUGGAGCUACGAAACUCCAAAUCAAGUGCCGUUAAUUUUCCCUGAAAAUAGACUCAUAUUUCUUAUAUCCAGAAAAUUUUCAGAAUUUUUGGUUUGGCCAAUCAAUACCAGAUUUUUCUCAAAGUUUUGCAUGUUUCACUGUUUGACUAAUCUGACCACUCUUCAUUACGAAUCAAAUUUCUCAUUGUACAGAAUUCAAAAUAUGUUCUCGUUUAUUCCAUUUGAAACUAGAUUCAUUAAGCUUUAAUUACAUAAUUUAUGCAGCUUCUAACUGAUCUCCCACAAUUUAUGGUGAUUUUUCAAAGUCACGUUACUGCUGCUGUCCCAAGCAGAUUUAUUACCAAAUCACUCUUUCACACAUAACUUGCAUGCAUGUUUUUUUUUAAACAUGUAUAUCACCAAUCAAUCAUCACAUAUCUAUGAUUUUACUUAAGUAUAAUCUCCAUUUCAUCAUUUUAAAGCACAACAUAUUAGCCGAUUUUUCCCCUUAGCAUCUAAGCACAUGCAUGCUCAUUUGUUUGGCUCAACUUCACCUAUCUUCCAUUUUUCAUCAAAAGAACAUGAAACAACAACCAUUUCCUUCAUUUUAAUUCAUGACUAAAUGCUCACAACACAACUAAAAACCAAAAUAUGCUUCAAGAGUUAAGGUAGAAUCAAGAAGAACUCAUGAACAUCAAGAUAGAAGCAAACUACCAUGAACUUACCUUCAAUUUUCUUCCCCAAGUGACCGAACAUUCAAGAGCUUUCUCCUCUCCUUUCUCUUCUCUAACUUUAGGCUAUGAUGAACAAAGAUGGACAAAACUUUGUUCUUUUCACCCCUUUUUCUUUUAAUAAAAUUUCAUAUUUCAUCCAUUUAAUUCUUUAAUACAAAAGACAUGAAAUUCCAAUCAUUGAACAUUUACCUAACCCAUUAUCAUGGAACAUUUACCUAACCCAUUAUCAAUUUGUAUCAAUUUGUACCAUAAAUUAUGGAUAUCAAGUGCACAUUUUGUCUACAACAACAUGAUGGCUGGCCACUUCAUGUAAAAUGGGAGGUUUGUCAUGCACUCCUAUUUAUUUGGCCACUUCAAUUUAGCCUAUAGCAUUUUCAAACAUUUUCACAUAGGUCCUAUUUCAUAAUUUCACUCACAAAUGACAAAAUUAAAAGCAUGAAAUUUUGCCAACAUUCACAGAAUUCUCGAAAAUUGGGGCGUUACACCCGAACCAUGGCAAUCAUACAAAAAAAUGCAAUUAUGAUUUUCAAAACAAAUUUUCAAUAUUUCGACAAAAGGACAACAAAUAAUGGAUUUUAUGGCUAGACUCUCUAGGUUAGUCCCCAUUGGAGUCGCCAAGCUGUCGAAACCACCUUAUUUAAAUUUUAUAUUUAAAUGAAAAGCGAGGAAUCGACUUUUGAAAAUAAAACAUGGAGUCGCCACAUAUCUUUUUGUUUAGGUGUGAUCGGAUCACCUAAUAAUUUGGUUAUUUUAAUAAAACAUUUUUUAUUUAGUAAAACAACGAUUUUGCUCUACGAACUUUUGAGAAAACGGGUUCAAGAGUCGGUUAUGCAUGAGGAAGGAUUAGCACCCUCACUACGCCCAAAAUUGGUAGCAAAUCAAUUAAAUGUUGUCCUUAUGUAAAAUGUUUUUGAAAUGUGGUUCCUUUUCGAUAAUAUUUGAAAUACCCGAGUUGGUUAUCAAAAUUCUCUUACUUAAGAGGAAUAUAGCACCACAUCCAGCACAAUAGGCCCUCGAAAACAUGAUAAAUUUUGACUUCCGAAAAAUUUGUAAGUUGAAAACCGCAAAAGGAUGCCCAAUUAUCCGGUCCAACGAGAAAAUCGAAACCCAGCAUAGUAGGGCACGACUCCUCGAAUUUCUAGACAUCAGAUAUUGCCUUAUUUUAGAAUUUAGAGAGUAUGAGUGAAAUUCUAAAGGAAUCUUCGAUCAUUGAACGAACGGGAAAUCGCAACCUAGCACAAUAGGGCACGAUUCCCGAAUUGCCAAACAUCGAGUAUUACCUUAGUUUUAAAGAGUUUUUAGAAGACAUGAACAAAAUUCUAAAGGGACAGUCGAUUACUUUGAGCAAACGAGAAAUUGCAACCCAGCACGUUAGGGCACGAUUUCGCGAAUUGUCAAAUAUCGAACAUCGCCUUCGUUUUAAAGGAUUUUUAGAAGACAUGAACGAAAUUUUGAAGGGAUAUUCGAUCAUUUUGAGCAAACGAGAAAUUGCAACCUAACACGUUAGGGCACGAUUCCGCGAAUUGCCAAAUACCAAACCUCGCCUUCGUUUUAAAGAAUCUUUAGAAGACAUGGGUGAAAUUUUGAAGGGAUAUUCGAUUAUUUUGAGCAAACGCGAAAUUGCAACCCAGCACAUUAGGGCACGAUUCCGCGAAUUGCCAAAUAUCAAAUCUCGUAUUCGUUUUAAAGAAUUUUUAAAUGAAUAAUUAUAAAACUAGCUUAAAAUGUAUUAAUGUGUUUUUGAAAUGAGACGAAUUUAAUCAUAAAAAUUUGGAUUUUAAAAAAACCACAUCUCAAAACCAAGUAGAAAACGACGAUACGGGGUAACAGGCACACUUGAGAUACGAUACUUGAUGAAUGAGAAUAUUAAUCAACUAGCAGAAUAAGCAAUUAAAUAUGAUUAAUCUAAAAAAUCAUAGCCUAAUUUCAAUCACGUAUGAAGAACAAUUAACAAAUCAAUAAGAUGAAUACCAUGCAAUGAUAAUAUAUAUUCAUGUUAUAAUAUAUAAAAAAAACAACAAGAUAUGUGGAAAGCAAAAUGGAAUGUAGAAAUCAAAAUGGUAUAAGAUUAAUAAACUUAAGAUAUAUAGGUUGACAAGUUUGAAUAAAAACUAGGGAUAUAUAAAAUAGAUAUUAUAAAAUAAAAGUUUGAAUCAAAUUGCGUGUAUAUUUUAGACACAAAUUCAUUUAAAAGUUAACAAAGUACAUGCUAAUUUAAUAUAUAAUACAAAAGAAUAAUAAAGAUAUAUGACAAGACAUAAUACACAAAAUAGAUUUAUAAAACAUAUGUACAUGUAAAUUUAUUAUAAAAAAUCAUGAGAUUAAUAAUAAUAUAUAUAAAUUUUAAGUUAUUCUAAAAAUUAUAUACAUACCCUUAUAUCAAAACAUUUAAAUAAGAGGCUAUAUAAAACACAAAAGUAAUAUAAUAUAAAGAAAUAUUCAAAAAUAAUAAUUUUAUAAUUACAAAGAUGAAGUUUCUAAAAUUGUUUCAUAUAUACCUAAUUAUUAAAAUAUAUGUUAUGGAAUAAAUAUUUUUAAUCGAAUAAUAUACAAAAUAUUGAAGAAUAUUGGCUUAAAAUUGACAAUUUUCAUAAAAACAAAUUUAAAUUAUGUACCAAAUAUGAAAAGGUUAAAAAAUGUAUAAUAAAAUAUAAUCUUAGAAAUAUAAUAAAUUUACAAAUCAUAUAUAUAUAUACAUAAAUAACUUUAGAAGUAAUUAUUUGUAAAAACAUGGAAAUGCACACAAGGUUAAAUUAUUUUUACUACAUGUAUAUAAAUAUGUAUAAAAGUAUUUAAAGAUGUUAGAAUUAUAUGAUAUAAAGAGGAAAUUCAAACAAUAAUUUUAUAAUCACAAAAAAAAAUUUAAAAUAACAGCUUAGCUAUUAAAACGGUGCAUGUAUAAAUAUCCGCAAAAUAUUUAAGUGAGAUGUUAUACUAAAUGCAUAAAUAAUAUAAUAAAAGGAACUCCAAAAUAAUUAUCCAAUUAAAAACAAAGCAAAAUUAUUAAAAUAAAUCAUCUAAAAAAUAUUAAACGGAUUUAAAAUAGUAAUUUAUAUCAAUAAAACUCAAUUAUAACUGAAUAAAAUUUAAAGGGAUAACUUGUAAAUAAAAUAGAGUAUUAAAAUAUAAAAAAGGACUAGCAUGCCACGAACGCGAAUGCUCAGGGACCAAAUCUGAAAAUAUUCCAGAUCCCAAAAUGCUGCAUAGUAGCGUGGGCUAAACUGAUAUGAUUUCUUAAUCCAGAUGCCAUUUAAAAAAAACAACUAAAGUACAAAUAGGGCCUAAUUCAACAUCAGGGUAAACGAGAGGGGUUAGCGUGCAAAUCUCCCAAUUUAAGUAAACACACAUGAAUUUGGCUUGCCAAACGGUCAACAUGCAGGCCUUUACCCCUUGGAACGGCACAGUUUUCUAGGCCAGAUAUUAAAACCCCCAUUUCCAUUUAUUUACCUUUCAAAAAAGCUAAUAAUCUUUAAACUCCUUUUUUUUUAAAAAAAAAAAAAGAACCCUUAAUCUGCUCUGUUAGGGUUGGUUCAACACACUGCCGCCAAACCACCAUCAGUUCGAUGGCCGACUACGCGAAAUACCAGACUCUAUCGACGGGGGUUGCAACCACAGAGAUCUGUUAAAUCACUUCUUUCCCUUUUUUUUUUUUAAAAAAAACUUCAAAUCGUAUUUCACUCUUUCAAAAAAAAAAGAGCAAAACUUCAAAGUGAAACGUUCGACCCUCGCCUUCGAGAUACUUGAGUGUUCAUCGGUGUCGUUUCAGAUGUUUCUUUCUUUUAUUGCAAAAAAAAAAGAGCGCAAGCAAAUGAGGAGAGAAACAAAAGAAUAAACGGACUUGAAAAAAAUCACCUCUUGAUUUGAUGAUUUCUGCCUAUUCUAUUUCUUUGUUGUAUGUGCGUUUUUGUGUGUAUCUGAAAAAAAUACAUGGCUUAUUACAUGGCUUUUUAUAGCCGAAAAUAGAGAAAAAUGAAAAAAGAAAAUACAAAUUUCUUGUUUUUUUCUCUUUGCUGUGUUGCGAUGCUGUUCUUGUCUUCAUGUAGGUACAGGGGAGGACGUGGAGCAUGGAGGUGGUACGGUCGCUGGAGGCUUGUACGGCGCUGGAGGCUGCUGCGGCGCUGAGCGAAUGGGGCUAAGGUUAGGGUUUCCAAGAACUUUCAAAAGAUUGGGCCUAUCAGGAUCUAUUUUUGGGUCUAGGUUAAUAUUAGUUGUUGGGCCAUUGAGUAUUGGGCUAAAGUCUGUAUAUAGACAUUUAAUGGACUAUAUAUUAUUGUAUUUUUCAUUUUGUUUUCGUGGUUUUUGUUUGAUUUGUGUUUGCACGGGCCCGGGCCAAAAUUGGGGAUUACAGUAAUGAUGUUCGAUUGGUUGGCUCUUAUUGGUUUCCAGAUUAACUGAAAUAAUUUCGUUUAAUUAGAUUGUUUUAUGAAAUUUAAUGCAUAUGAUGCAAUGUAAUGCAAAUGCAUGAAAUGAAUGCAAAAAGAGGCAUUGACUCUGAUUCAAUUCUAUUAGAAUAACUUUAUUAGAAAACAAAUUUCUUUACAUAAGAAGAAUUACAUAAACGGCUUUGCUCUAAUACUCAAAGUCAAAACCUUCCUAAGAAGCCAAGCUGACUCUUGAACCCGAUCCGAUUCUGAUUCAUACUUCAAGCUUAGCACGUCAGCCUGAAC